AAUGAAGCAGUACAAUGAUAAGGAACCAGGAGGGGUUCAUAGCAAUGGUCCUGUUCUUGAUGAAGUUCUACUGUCUGACCCAGAGUUAUCUGAUGCAAUUGAGAAUGAAAAGGUGGUGAACAAAACAAUUCAAAUUUAUAAUAUUGACCGUGCUACUUGUGGCCGCAUAGCUGGUGUUAUUGCAAAGAAAUACGGUGACACUGGUUUUGCUGGGUAGCUUAACAUAACAUUCAUAGGGAGUGCUGGGCAGUCAUUUGGUUGUUUUUUGACACCUGGAAAGAACAUCCGUCUUGUAGGAGAAGCUAAUGACUAUGUGGGGAAGGUUAG